GUUUUUGGAUGAUGCAGUUCAAGCAGAAGGUCAUCUCUUUCACUGUAAAUGGAGAUUUGCCUUGGGGACUUUGGAGGAGCACAGAAAUAGGCCUACAUGAAAAUUUUGAAGAGCAAUUUUAUAACAAAAAAAGUUCAAUAUCUAGUCCGAAGAUAUGACCGAGGAUCAUAUCACCUCCUUACAGCUACUGGUUCAUCAUAUUCUGCUGUUAUUAUGUGAAGACCAACAUGGAUUUUGGAUUGAAAUGAAGACAAUUAGUUUGUAUGAACUGAAGCAUCCCAUAAACUGUGUUUAUAAAUAUCUGUACUGUUGUUAUACAUUGGGAAUGUGCUUUUUAGUUGUCUCGGAUGUUAAUAUAUGUUAAUUUAAUGAACACUUAAAUGCAUGAUAC